AGAACAUCCAGGCCUGGAAGACAAGCUGAGGGGUGGAUAGAACUGUGUGGGGAGGAGUCUGGUGCUGACUGGUGAAUUCAGAAGCAGGAAAGAGGGACAGAGUGGAUUUUACAACCAGAAUAAAGCUGGGAAAUGCCCCCGUGAAUGGAGCCAAAGAAAGGUUGGAGUUUGGGGUAUGGUGUGUAUUUGAAGAUUCAAACUCCACGUGGUCUUCAGGAGCUCAAACACUCUCACACAGAACAGAAAGGAAGUCUCCAAAACGAAUGUGAAAUUGACAAAUCACCGCACUGCUUCAGGACCCCAGCCCAUGGAAUGCUGUGAUCAACAUUCAGAGUCGAUCAUCCUACAUCAAUUACCCUAAUCUAGGAAAUCCCACAGAGCCAGGACCAAAGAACGUAAAACAAAAACAAACAAAACCCAGCCUGUGAACAUUAGCAAUAGCACAGUACCUGAGACUACACAGAAGCCUGGGAAAGUCACCUGUGAAUGCUGAUGCUCUACAGCAUCACCAUGGUAGAGAAACUACAAAAGAAGCUUUUGAUUCUGAAGCUGAGCCUGAUCCUCCUAACACAGAACCUGGCUUUUUCAACAGGGACCACUUUCCACUGGGUGUCCCAGUGCCUAUCACACUUUAGUAGGACUUGAGGACAAAUCGUGUCUUGUUCUUGGAAGAAGCAUCCUGGCUAAGUGGCUGC
rnacentral:lncRNA from 1 species